rnacentral:tRNA from 1 species
GCGGUACUAGCUCAACAGGCAGAGUAGCUGGCUUCACCCAGCAAGUCGGGGUUCGAGUCCCCGAUACCGCU